AGAUUACUUCGGUUUGAAGUCUUUUAUGACUGAGUGGCGGACGGGUGAGUAACGCGUGGGUAACCUGCCUCAUACAGGGGGAUAGCAGCUGGAAACGGCUGGUAAUACCGCAUAAGCGCACGGGAUCGCAUGAUUCUGUGUGAAAAACUCCGGUGGUACAGGAUGGACCCGCGUCUGAUUAGCUGGUUGGUGAGGUAACGGCCCACCAAGGCAACGAUCAGUAGCCGGCCUGAGAGGGUGAACGGCCACAUUGGGACUGAGACACGGCCCAAACUCC
rnacentral:rRNA from 1 species